rnacentral:rRNA from 1 species
ACUACGCUGGCGGCGUGCCUAAUACAUGCAAGUCGAACGGGAUUCUUUGAUCAGCUUGCUGAGAGAAGGAUCUAGUGGCGGACGGGUGAGUAACGCGUGGGAAUCUGCCUCUUACUGGGGGAUAACAGUGGGAAACUACUGCUAAUACCGCAUAAGAUCUUCGGAUGAAAGGUGCAACUGCACCGGUAAGAGAUGAGCCCGCGUCCCAUUAGCUAGUUGGUGAGGUAAAGGCUCACCAAGGCGACGAUGGGUAGCCGGCCUGAGAGGGUGAACGGCCACACUGGGACUGAGACACGGCCCAGACUCCUACGGGAGGCAGCAGUAGGGAAUCUUCCGCAAUGGGCGCAAGCCUGACGGAGCGACGCCGCGUGAGUGAUGAAGGCCUUCGGGUCGUAAAGCUCUGUUCUUGAGGACGAAUAAGCCAGGGAGUGGAAAGCCCUGGUGAUGACUGUACUCAAGGAGAAAGCUCCGGCUAACCUACGUG